AUUGAACGCUUGCGGCAGGCUUAACACAUGCAUGUCGAGCGAGCGGCGGACGGGUGAGUAAUGUCUGGGAAACUGCCUGAUUGAGGGGGAUAACUACUGGAAACGGUAGCUAAUACCGCAUACCAUCAGAUGUUCCCAGAUGGGAUUAGCUAGUAGGUGGGGUAAUGGCUCACCUAGGCGACGAUGCCUAUCUGGUCUGAGAGGAUGACCAGCCACACUGGAACGGAGACACGGUCCAGACUCCCACGGGAGGCAGCAGUGGGGAAUAUUGCACAAUGGGCGCAAGCCUGAUGCAGCCAUGCCGCGAGUGUGAAGAAGGCCUUCGGGUUGUAAAGCACUUUCAGAGAGGAGGCGUUACUCGCAGAAGAAGCACCGGCUAAAUCCGUGCGAGCAGCCGAGGUAAUUC
rnacentral:rRNA from 1 species